AUGGCUAGCCAGCAAAACCUCUUUUCUCUGAAGGCGAACAUCUCUUCACCUUCGGCUACCAUUGAAACAAUGUUCGAUGGCUUCAGGAGAGAGCUUUUCUUAGCUCAAGACAAGCACUCAGGAAAUUACAUUGGCUCUCAGACCAAGAUCCAGUCCUUCAGCCGUCUGACCAAGAUGGGGCCAAAACAGUGGAAGAAGAUCAACAAGAAAUCUCCUUCAGCUGACGAGGGUUGCAGGGUGGUCAAACUGUUGGCUGGAGCAAGAGAGGUCGUUGCUUCAAUGCUUCAGUCACCCAGGCGGCUCCUACUGAAGUAA
rnacentral:rRNA from 1 species